GACACAGGGUGAGUCAGGGCCCCACACCAGCCCAGGGCACCCCCAUGCUGUGCCCCGGGCUGCUGCUGAUGACGAUGAUGACACUGCUGCUGCUACGUCAAGACAGACCACAGAAAAGAUGCACAAACUCAGGAAAACAAAGAAAAAACAAAAAAUCAAGCAGAAGUACAGAUUUUAUUUCUUCAUUUAGUCUACGUUUACAGCGGCGAGCUCAGCACAGUGCGGCACAAGGCUCUGCUGACUCCUGGGGUGCAAGGCUAGACACAUGACUCCUUGGACUGCUCGCUAAAGGGGGGAGGAGGGCCGGGCAGGAGAAUGGCACCCAGCAACAAAACAGUACAUGCCUAUUAUUAUUUUUUUAUAGUGGCGAUCUGCUCCCUCGGUCGUCUAGAAAAUAGCCUAUUCCAUUUAGCGUAUCCUGUUUCUGGGUCGGGAUCUGAAGAGUCCCUUGAUAGAUAGAGUCCCGACAACCUAAGAUUUGGACGCCAUCAUCGGCCCUGUUUUACCGUUUGAAAAGUGCAGCAAAAACAGGCCCAAUAAUGGCGUCCAAAUCUUAGGUUGUCGGGACUCUAUAAAGGACUCUAUAGAUCAUCGCCCAGAAACAGGUUAUACUAAAUGGAAGAGCCUAUAAAUGCAGGAACAAAACAGUACAUAGCUAUUUUACUUUCCAUGGUGGCUCACUGCACCUCCAUCGGCCGUCUAGGAAAUAAAUAUGGCAACAAAAAUAUCAUUACAAAUAAACAAACAGUACAUUGGAAAAGCAGGAAAAUACAGGCUGUAAUUCAUGGCCUCACCUCACCCCCAUGAGCAUACACUCUACUUUUAAUACAUACUUGAAUGAAUAUAAGUUAAUAGAAAAUAUAAACAUGAAUAUAGGAGAAAAACUAUCAGGAGCUUAAACGUGCUGGAAACCGAAACUACAUCUUACGCUAUAACACUAAAAGGGCUUUUACGCUGGGCAAAUUUUCCGCGCAUCUUCAGUCAAACCACGAUUUCCGCUGGCGUGGUUCUCAUUUGUUUCUUGUUAUUGCUGAUGAUGAUGAUGGUGAGUUAUAUCGCCAUCCGUCAAGGAACUCUACCGUGGCUUUGGAAGAUCGUGGACGCAUCAAAAAACCAUGGAAAUAUGAGAACCGUGCCAGCGGAAAUCGUGGUUUGACUGAAGAUCCACGGAAAAUUUGCCCAGUGGAAUAUCCCCUUAAAAAACCAUUAUUGUUAAACGUAUCAGCAGCUCACUUCCCCUAUUCGAAAAGCCUCUCAUGGGAGUUGUCAGUAUUUUCAUGGGCUGUUUUAUGAUCCCAGUGAUAGUUUUACAUGAUUUCCGCAAUAAAGUUGGAAAGUUUGGUUUAGUCGGCGCAACAUCCGUGGUCAUAUGCCGGGGACAGACAGAAGGGGAAGGAAUUAUAGGAGAAGGGAACAGUUGGAAAGUUUGGUUUAGUCGGCGCAACAUCUGUGGUCAUAUGCCGGAGAGAGACAGAAGGAGAAGGAAUUAUAGGAGAAGGGAGCAGUUGGAAAGUUUGGUUUAGUCGGCGCAACAUCUGUGGUCAUAUGCCGGAGAGAGACAGAAGGGGAAAGAAUUAUAGGAGAAGGGAACAGACCCCAGGAGACGGGACACAACCCCCGAUUAAAACCUGGUACCCAUUCACUGCUGGGUGGACAGGGGCAUAGGGUAUCGGAAAAGCCACACAAAUUUUUCCACUCCGCCCGGGAAUCGAACCCGGGCUCUCUUGGUUGUGAGCCGAGUGUGCUAACCACUGCACCACGAAGCCACCCAUGAAAAUCCGGACAAUCUCAUCUGUGGCCUUGGAAAUUAGUCAUAGGGUCGCUUCCAUAGUCACCUUGUUUGUGUUGAUCGUUACCAAUGGCGUCGAUCGCGCAAUAGUAUUUCCGCAUAAAACUGGCCGAUGCGGGAGUGGCGGCUGUGAGGUUAGCCUAGCCCCGCCCCUUGCCAUACACUCUCAACACCUCUUGCUUCCUCUGCAGCCGCCACUACCCCACCGGCCAGUUUCACGUGGAAAACUACAGCGUCGAUCUCCGCCAUUGGUAACGAUCAAAACAAACAGUGAUUGUGAAAGCGGCCCACAAUCUUCUCUGUGGCCUUGGGAAACAGUCGUAAUGUGAGUCUGAUACGUAAAACAAUAAGGAGCUAAACCUACACGAUAUCCGACUGAGGAGUUACGUCAAUGGCCUCGGGAGUUUUAAGUAAUGGAUCAGAUGGACCUCACCCAAGUCUCUACAUCUAUGACACUGAUACAUGGUAAUCCUCCUCUCUCUGUGUCCACUUUGUAUGUUUCUGAGCCAUGUACAAGUAAGGAGAGGGACGGGGAAGAGGGUGAAUGAGUACUUUUUUUUUCUUUUUUUUUUUACAGCAGAGGAGACCGUGCAAGGGCGUUAAAAAAAAUGAAAACAAUGAUGAAAGAAAAAAAGUCCGCUACACACAAUAGAAGGGGAUUGAGGAGGGGAAUAUGCAAAAAUAAUGUGGGAUAUACGGAAAGGGUUGAGAUAGUUCUGUGACAUCCAUCAGUCACUUACGCUACCAACGCACUAACGUACAUACUCGUCACUGGCACAUGCGUUACCUAACCUAACACACACACACACACACACACACACACACGCACUCCUCACACCAGGUCCGGUAAAAUGUAUAUGUAUGAUAAUUUAUACAUGUUUUAAAAAGGAUUUGACUGUGAUUUUUUUUUUUACUAAAGUUUUGACUUGAUUCUGGAUAUAGCGAGAUAGCCUACUACCUAACACACACACACACACACA